rnacentral:rRNA from 1 species
AUUGAACGCUGGCGGCAGGCCUAACACAUGCAAGUCGAGCGGAUGAAGGGAGCUUGCUCCUGGAUUCAGCGGCGGACGGGUGAGUAAUGCCUAGGAAUCUGCCUGGUAGUGGGGGAUAACGUCCGGAAACGGGCGCUAAUACCGCAUACGUCCUGAGGGAGAAAGUGGGGGAUCUUCGGACCUCACGCUAUCAGAUGAGCCUAGGUCGGAUUAGCUAGUUGGUGGGGUAAAGGCCUACCAAGGCGACGAUCCGUAACUGGUCUGAGAGGAUGAUCAGUCACACUGGAACUGAGACACGGUCCAGACUCCUACGGGAGGCAGCAGUGGGGAAUAUUGGACAAGGGGCGAAGGCCUGAUCCAGCCAUGCCGCGUGUGUGAAGAAGGUCUUCGGAUUGUAAAGCACUUUAAGUUGGGAGGAAGGGCAGUAAGUUAAUACCUUGCUGUUUUGACGUUACCAACAGAAUAAGCACCGGCUAACUUCGUG